UGGCUGGGCGCGGUGGCUCACGUCUGUAAUCCCAGCACUUUGGGAGGCUGAGGUGGGCGGAUCAUGAAGUUAAGACAUGGAAACCAUCCUGGCCAACAGGAUAAAACCCUGUCUCUACUAAGAAUACAAAAAUUAGCCGG